CUCUGGAAGCCCAAUGCCAGGAUACAGGGCUUUGUUACACAGCACCCUGGGACCAAAGAGAGGCUGAAGACUUUCUUCAGAUUUUACCAUGCCCGGCUCAUCCCGCGCAAACACUUCCACGUGGAUCAAAAGUAGAGUGAGCAGGUGUAUGCCCGUGUGGGUCAGCCUGUCUGCAUACGGGAAGAUGUUUUUCCCCAAUGCAACAAUACAGAUUGCAACCGUUGAAUAAAUGCAUCCUAGAAAAGCUCA